rnacentral:misc_RNA from 1 species
GAAAUGCGAUAAGUAAUGUGAAUUGCAGAAUUCAGUGAAUCAUCGAAUCUUUGAACGCACCUUGCGCUCCUUGGUAUUCCUUGGAGCAUGCCUGUUUGAGUAUCAUGAAAUCUUCAAAGUAAAUCUUUUGUUAACUCAAUUGGUUUCUACUUUGGUAUUGGAGGUCUUUGCAGCUUCACACCUGCUCCUCUUUGUUCAUUAGCUGGAUCUCAGUGUUAUGCUUGGUUCCACUCGGCGUGAUAAGUUAUCUAUCGCUGAGGACACUGUAAAAGGUGGCCAGGGUAAAUGCAGAUGAACCGCUUCUAAUAGUCCAUUGACUUGGACAAUACUUUUAUGAUCUGAUCUCAAAUCAGGUAGGACUACCCGCUGAACUGAAG